rnacentral:rRNA from 1 species
AUACGUAGGUGACAAGCGUUAUCCGGAUUUACUGGGCGUAAAGGGCGUGUAGGCGGUCUUGCAAGUCAGAAGUGAAAUUCCUGAGCUCAACUCGGGCGCUGCUUCUGAAACUGCAGGACUUGAGUGCUGGAGGGGAGAGCGGAAUUCCAAGUGGAGAGGUAAAACGCGUAGAUAUUAGGAAGAACACCGGUGGCGAAGGCAGCUCUCUGGGCUAACACUGACGCUCAUGCACGAAAGCGUGGGGAGCAAACAGGAUUAGAUACCCUGGUAGUCCACGCCCUAAACGAUGUCUACUAGUUGUUGGAGGAGUAAAAUCCUUUAGUAACGCAGCUAACGCGUGAAGUAGACCGCCUGGGGAGUACGGUCGCAAGAUUAAAACUCAAAGGAAUUGGCGGGG